GCCUAGUUAGCUUAGUUGGUAGUGCGUCUGCCUUGUAAGCGCUAGGCCGCGGGUUCGAUUCCUGCCCGGGGCG
rfam:Asian citrus Psyllid, Diaphorina citri - Florida Strain, whole genome shotgun sequence.